rnacentral:rRNA from 1 species
CACUCCUACGGGAGGCAGCAGUGGGGAAUUUUACGCAAUGGGGGAAACCCUGACGUAGCGACACCGCGUGAGCGAAGAAGCCCUUUGGGGUGUAAAGCUCUGUCAGCUGGAACGAAAACAAUGACGGUACCAGCAGAGGAAGCAUCGGCUAACUACGUGCCAGCAGCCGCGGUAAGACGUAGGAUGCGAGCGUUGUCCGGAUUUAUUGGGCGUAAAGAGUUCGUAGGUGGUUUGUUAAGUUUGGUGUUAAAGAUCGGGGCUCAACCCUGGGACUGCACUGAAUACUGGCAGACUCGAGUGUGGUAGAGGCUAGUGGAAUUCCCAGUGUAGCGGUGAAAUGCGUAGAUAUUGGGAAGAACACCGGUGGCGUAGGCGACUAGCUGGGCCAUAACUGACGCUGAGGAACGAAAGCCAGGGGAGCGAAUGGGAUUAGAAACCCGUGUAGUCCC